rnacentral:rRNA from 1 species
GACGAACGCUGGCGGCGUGCUUAACACAUGCAAGUCGAACGGAAAGGCCCGCAUCAUUUUUUUGGUGGGGGUGCUCGAGUGGCGAACGGGUGAGUAACACGUGGGUGAUCUGCCCUGUACUUCGGGAUAAGCUUGGGAAACUGGGUCUAAUACCGGAUAGGACCAUGGUUUAGUGUCUCAUGGUGGAAAGAUUAUUGUUUUGGUGCAGGAUGAGCUCGCGGCCUAUCAGCUUGUUGGUGGGGUAAUGGCCUACCAAGGCGUCGACGGGUAGCCGGCCUGAGAGGGUGGACGGCCACAUUGGGACUGAGAUACGGCCCAGACUCCUACGGGAGGCAGCAGUGGGGAAUAUUGCACAAUGGGCGCAAGCCUGAUGCAGCGACGCCGCAUGGGGGAUGACGGCCUUCGGGUUGUAAACUCCUUUCGUUAGGGACGAAGCCGCACCUUUUUUUGGGUGUGGUGACGGUACCUUUGUUAAGAAGCACG